GGCACUUUUUCUUUAAAUUAAAUCUUUGGGAUUUUCUUCAGGCAAUAGACGAGAGAUGUCAUGACACUUUACACCUUAUGUAAGUUAGGAGGAACAUAAUUGAGUGUAAAUUGUAAAGUCACAUUAGAGUAGUUAAUUAAAGCCCCACCCCCCGUUCCUGCGGCCAUCUGACGCGCAUGCGCACUCACACGCCCUAUCCCCCUGCUAACCGGAGACACCUGUGCGCUCUGAGGAAACUUCAGCGUCUGAGGUAAAGAACGUUCAUCUUUUACCUGCUGAUAUAUUUUUAACUUUCACUACACGUUAUUAAUGCGAUUAUAUUAUAUAAUCCGUGUAGAUCUGUUUUAGUGUCACCCUGUGAUCCGGGUAAUUUUACCUCAGAAAUUAUAGUAGCAGUAUCACACAGCCACCGGCUAACCUGAGACCCCGUUGUGAGGAAACUUGGGCGUUCUGAGCCACCUGCCAACCUGAGAAACCGUGGUGUUCUGAGGAAACUUCAGUAUCUGAGAACCAGCACCUAGGUCCCAACCAGUCUGGCUUAAAGCAGCACAUUCCACAGAGAAUGCCCUUCUGGCCGUCGCUAAGAAACUACAUGCUGCUCGAUCAGCCGAGCUGUCAUCUGUGCUCGUCCUCCUCAACCUUAUAGUGGCAUUCGACACAGUCAACCACAAGACUUUCCUACCUGGAAGGUCACUCAUACCAGGUUACAUGGAGUGGGUCCACAUCUGCUAUACGCAGACUCCACUGGUGUCCCAUAAGGCCCAGUGCUUGGUCCUCUCCCAUUCCUCCUCUAUAUUCACUCUUUUGGAGUCAUAUCCUUACAUGGGUUUUCUUACCACUGUUUUGCUGAUGACACUCAACUUAUCUUCUCCUUCCCUCCCUCAGAUAUCGACGCUUCCGAUCGGAUCUCGGCAUGCCCGGCAGACACAUCUUUGUGGAUGAGUGCUCAUCGACUAAAACGCAACCCCAGCAAAACCGAACUGCUGGUCAUUCUAGGUGAUUCAUUUCCAGCUCAGGAUCUCGGAAUAAUUCAUCAUAACGUUCUGCGUUUCCCUUUCAGCCAACAUUCGACGACCUUGGAGUAACUAUGGACUUUUCCUCAUAUGUUGCUAAUGUGACUCGUUCUUGUCGGUUCCUUCUCUACAUCAUCAGAAGGAUUUGACCAUUUCUGUCCCCACAGGCUGCUCAGGUGCUUGUUCAGUCUCGAUAUUUUAAGACUGGACUGCUUGACUGGUACCACCUCCUCUCAGGGGGGAAAAAGGUAAAUAUAUAUUUCAAGGCUCUUCUUUGUUCUGGCACCGAGGUGGUGGAAUGAACUUCCCCUAGAUGUCCGAUCAGUGGAGUCCCUGGUUAUCUUCAAGCGACGGGUAAAGACCUACCACUUCCUGAAACACUAAAUCUAACACCACCCGGUUUGCUUUGUCUUUUACAAAAAAAGACAAAGCAAACCGGGUGGUGUUAGAUUUAGUGUUAGAUUUUUUUGUCUUGGUAGUGUGGGUGUUGGUAUUACGGGUGUCUGUUUUUGUUGGUUGGUAGGUGUUGCUAGUGUUUUGUUGGUAGUAAUUGGUAAUGUGGGUGUUAAUUAAACGAAUAGAAGAACAAUGAAUUUCUUGUUAAUUUUAAGAAACCUUUCUUAUUGUAGUAUGUAUUAUUGCUCUUUAAUAAAGAAAGUACUUAUGAUUGUUUGAUUAAUCAAUGGAAUAAUCGUUAGAAUACUCGAUCAUGAAAAUAAUCGAUAGCACCAGCCCUAGUUGGUAGUAUUUGUGUUGGUAGUGUAGCUGUAUGCAGUGUUUUUGUUUUAGUAGGGGUGUAUGUAGUAUUUGUUUUAUUUUUCUUGUGUGGGAGUUGGUAGUAUUUGUGUUGGUAUUAUGGGUGUUGCUAGUGUGGUUGUAGUAUGUUAGUUGUAAAUGUUGGUAGUACUUUUGUUGGUAUUGAGUAUUGGUAGAAUUGGUUAGUAUUGUGGGUGUUGGUUGUAUUUGUUGGUAGUGUGUUGGUAUUGAGGGCAUUGGUGUAGGUGUUUGUAGUAUUCUAUUUGGUAGAUUUUGGGUCGGAAGUGUAGCUGUUAGUAGUUCUUGUGUUGCUAGUUUUUCUUUUGGUAGUAUUUGUGUUGGUAUUGUUUGUGUCUGUAGCAUUUUGUUUUUCUAUUGUCGGUGUUGUAGUAUUUGUUAGUUGUGUAGGUGUUGGUUGUAUUUGUGUUAGCAUUGUGUGUUUUGGUAGUGUAGAUGUUAUUUCUGUUUGUAGUGUGGUUGUAUGUUGUGUAGGUGUUGUAGAUAGUAUUUGUGUUGGUAGUUUUUGAUCUGAGUAGUUAUUUAUUCUGGUGGAUUUUUUGUUGGUAGUGUAAGUGUUAGUAGUAUUUGAUUUGUAAUGUAGCUGUUUGUAGUGUAGGUGUUUGGUAGUUUUGAUUUGGAAGUGUAGAUUAUUUCUGCUGUUGGCAGUUUUGUGUUAGUAGUAUUUGAUUCGCUAAUAUAGCUGUGGUUGCAUUUGUUGCUAGUGUGGUUUUAGUAUUUGUUUUGGUGGUGUGGGUGUAGUUAGUUAUUGUUGGUAUUUGUGCUGCUACUGUGGGUGUUUAAUAUUUGUGUUGGUAGAAUUUUGUCCUGUACUGAAUGUGUUGGAAAUAUUUGUCUUGGUAGUAUUUAGUUAGAAAAUGUAGGGGUUGGUAGUGUUGGUGGAGUGAGUGUUGGUAAUGUGUGUUUUGUUAGUGGGGUUAGUAGUGUGGGUAUUGAUGGUGUUUUAGUGUAGGGGUUAGAUAUUUAGUGUUGGUAGAAUUUUAGGGCUGCAUCUAUUGAUUUUAGUAAUCGAGUAUUUUACUGCUUAUUCCAUCGAGUAAUCAGAAAAGAAUAUUACAGCAAAAUAUAAAAUAAAUCCUAUAAAUAUAAAUACA